UACGUAGGGGGCAAGCGUUGUCCGGAUUUAUUGGGCGUAAAAGGCUUGUAGGUGGCCACGCCAAGUCGGAUGUGAAAUCUCCCGGCUCAACUGGGAGGGGUCAUUCGAUACUGGCGGGCUCGAGGCCGGUAGGGGGAAGUGGAAUUCCCGGUGUAGUGGUGGAAUGCGUAGAUAUCGGGAGGAACACCAGUGGCGAAGGCGGCUUCCUGGCCUGUUCUUGACGCUGAGGCACGAAAGCGUGGGGAGCAAACAGG
rnacentral:rRNA from 1 species